AUACGGAGGGGGCUAGCGUUGUUCGGAAUUACUGGGCGUAAAGCGCACGUAGGCGGCACACACAGUCAGAGGUGAAAGGCCUGGGCUCAACCCAGGAACUGCCUUUGAUACUGGUGAGCUAGAGUCCGGGAGAGGGUAGCGGAAUUCCCAGUGUAGAGGUGAAAUUCGUAGAUAUUGGGAAGAACACCGGUUGCGAAGGCGGCUACCUGGACCGGUACUGACGCUGAGGUGCGAAAGCGUGGGGAGCAAACAGGAUUAGAUACCCCGGUAGUCC
rnacentral:rRNA from 1 species